rnacentral:rRNA from 1 species
UCGAGGAUCUUCGGCAAUGGGGGCAACCCUGACCGAGCGACGCCGCGUGUGCGACGAAGGCCUUCGGGUUGUAAAGCACUGUCGAGGGGGAGAAAAGCGCAAGCUUGAUCCAUCCCUGGAGGAAGCACGGGCUAAGUUCGUGCCAGCAGCCGCGGUAAGACGAACCGUGCGAACGUUGUUCGGAAUCACUGGGCUUAAAGGGCGCGUAGGCGGGCUGCCAAGUCCGGGGUGAAAUCCCACGGCUCAACCGUGGAACGGCCCGGGAUACUGGCGGCCUCGAGGGGGGUAGGGGCCCGCGGAACUAUGCGUGGAGCGGUGAAAUGCGUUGAUAUGCAUAGGAACUCCGGUGGCGAAGGCGGCGGGCUGGACCCCUUCUGACGCUGAGGCGCGAAAGCCAGGGGAGCGAACGGGAUUAGAUACCCCUGUAGUCC